UACUAUACUAAAAUAACAGAAUAACUAGAAUAUUAAAAGAUAUAAUCUUUAAAUUCAAAGAAUUUGGCGGUAAUUUAGUCUUUCCAGAGGAACCUGUUUUUUAAUCGAUAAACCACGAAUAAUCUUACUUGCUUUUAUAAAUUUAAUGAGUUUGUAUACCGUCAUUAUCAGAUAAUAUUUAGAGAUAAAAUUAUUGAACUUUAAAUAAUAAUAAAAAUUAGAUCAAGGUGCAGCUUAUAGGCAAGUUAAAAUGGGUUACAAUUAACUGAAUUAAUAAUGGAUAAGGAUUUGAAAAAGUCUUUGGAAGGAGGAUUUGGUUGUAAAUUAAAAAUUAGUAUGAUAAAAAGAUAUAGGCUCUAAAUUAU
rnacentral:rRNA from 1 species